UGUUCUGUCUUUCAUGAUUUUUGUAGUAUUCAUUUUUUGGCUACAUGUAUUAAGUCUCUUAGCAUUUUUUUGCAUGCCAAUCAUAAUCCUCUUGAUUGUGGUCGUUUGAGGGUCUUAUUUUGCUUUCUGGGCUUUUACCUAAUCCAGAAUUGGAGACUUCAGUGCUUUCGCUAUGCAAGGUUUGCAGGUUUUGAAUGAGUUGGGAGCUGGGAAUGCACAAGCAGCUAAAUGACUGUUAUAAUGGUUCUUGUAGUUGCAGAGAUUUAUUGUAGCCGUGAUUCUCUUCUUCUGCCAUCGUGUUUUGGUCUAUGCCUUUCGCAGUAAGAAGGAAAUUGCAGAUAUGGGUCCUUUGCUUUGUCUCUCAAUAGUCAUCUUUCAGGGUCCCUAGAGGAAGUGGCUGGCAGGAUAUUGGCGCCUACGUAAAUCUUGAGGCAUAUUAUUUAGUCGGGGUUCCAGUAGGUGUUGUUUUGGCCUUCGCUGUACACUUGAAAGGAAACGGUCUUUGGAUCGA